GGGGGGGUCACAGGGUCACCUGAGGGGGUCACAGGGUCACCUGGGGGGUCACAGGGUCACCUGAGUGGGGGGGACAUUUGGGGACACCCCCGAUGGGGUCCCUCAGGGGGUCCCGGGGAGGGGCUCAGGACCCCCCCCCCCCCCAGGUGGUUCUUCUUCAUCUUCAGGUGCAGCCCCAGGUACAUCGGGGGGUCCCGGAGAGCAGGUGAGGGCCCAGGUGAGUCUGGGGGGUCCCAGGUGAGUCUGGGGGGGCCCAGGUGAGUCUGGGGGGGCCCAGGUGACUCCAGGGGGUCCCAGGUGAGUCCAGGGGGGUCCCAGGUGACUCCAGGGGGUCCCAGGUGACUCCAGGGUGGGCCCAGGUGAGCCCAGGUGACUCCAGAAGGGUCCCAGGUGACUCCAGGGGGUCCCCAGGUGACUCCAGGGGGUCCCCAGGUGACUCCAGAGGUGUCUCAGGUGAGUCAGGGGGUCCCCAGGUGACUCCAGGUGA